rnacentral:misc_RNA from 1 species
AAUUAAUUAUCAAUUGUUGUUUACGAAUAAUGACAUAUAUGUGAAACUAAGAGAAGUUUAAACUCUGGACUUGUAAUAUCUCCCUAUGUACUUUAAUACUUAUUAUAGAUCUACCAAAGCGGUGUUGACAGUUUGAUCUAAAUGUAAAUAAUAUGGCUGGAAUUACACAACAAUCAAAUGUUGAAUUCGAACAGAAGGAAUUAACAAUAACUGAAGUGCUUCAAACGCAAACGCUUCCAAUUAUAGUUAAAACAAGCGCAAGUGGAACAAAUCGUCGAAUUCUAAAUCAGCAUGGUAUACCCGAGAACAGAGAACUGCUGCUACAAAGAAAAAUGAAUGUGAAGUACGCACGUGUCAAAAUGUUGACAUCUCUUGAUAAAGAUGAACGGCAAGGUCAACGGAAAGACGAGCACAUCAGAGAUAACCAUUAUCUAAUACCUGUAAAAUACCAUGGAAAAAUAAAGUAUGUUCACCCACCAGGACGCAGGCGACGAUAUGCAUCUGUGCCUCAGGUACUACAGGACUUGCCUCGAUACAUAACUGUGUGGGAGAACACACGAGCUCUACCAUGCAGUGGAGCGAGUGAAUACAUCACAGUUGAGGCAAAUACCACACUAGAAAUCGUCAGAAAAGCUACAAGGCCCGAAAACAAGGCAGUGAUUCUUGAAUGCAGUAAUGGUGAAACAUCUGUUGCAUUUAUGGAACAAGACAGACUAAACUGCACUGCCGUAGAUGACACAAAACUGUACAAUUUGUUUGAGCUCGUGCGUUCCAAAUUGUUACCUAGAGUGUUUCAGUUUGAUGCCGUUGACCCUAAUGAUAUAACACAUUUGAAUGAUGCAUUAUAUAGGUGAAACAUUAUCUGCAGUAGACAAACCAAUGGAACUUCAAGGUUUUACAGACGUAGAAUUGCUUGUUGGGUGGGCCCGAAAUGAAAUACAGGAGGCGUAUGAGACCGUUUUGAUUCCCCGAAACAUUUGGACGUCCGUGUUUGUACAUAAAGAAUGUCCAGAAAACAAAGCGAACACGAUGCCAUCUGUUUCAAGGGCAUAUGGACCUUGCAAGGAAGUUGAUUUCAUAGAGAAAUCAUUGUAUCUACUACCGCUGAAUCAGAGUAAAGUUAUGUGGUUGAUUGGUCCAACCUUCGAACGCAAAGGACAGUUCUACUCUUCAAACACAAAUACUGAGGAAAAUUCGGACACAGUUAAAGAUGAAAAAAUGUACCAUGGACCAGUUGUUCUACUUCCACAAGUAAAG